rnacentral:rRNA from 1 species
GACGAACGCUGGCGGCGUGCUUAACACAUGCAAGUCGAGCGACGCUCUUCCUUCGGGGAGCUGACGGAGCGGCGAACGGGUGAGUAACACGUGGGCAACCUGCCCCUAGCUCCGGGACAACACCGGGAAACCGGUGCUAAUACCGGAUACGACAUCGAGCGGCAUCUCUCGAUGUGGAAAGUUUUUUCGGCUAGGGAUGGGCCCGCGGCCUAUCAGCUUGUUGGUGGGGUAAUGGCCCACCAAGGCGACGACGGGUAGCCGGCCUGAGAGGGCGACCGGCCACACUGGGACUGAGACACGGCCCAGACUCCUACGGGAGGCAGCAGUGGGGAAUAUUGCGCAAUGGGCGAAAGCCUGACGCAGCGACGCCGCGUGAGGGAUGACGGCCUUCGGGUUGUAAACCUCUUUCAGCAGGGACGAAUUCAGACGGUACCUGCAGAAGAAGCACCGGCCAACUACGUG